rfam:Populus trichocarpa isolate Nisqually-1 chromosome 19, whole genome shotgun sequence.
UUUAAAACUAGAGAUAUGGGCUGAACACUGAAUAGUAUCUGGGCUACAGGACAGAUUAUGGCAUCUCUUUUGUUGCUACAAUUUGAGCUUGAAAACGGUAGUUUUGAAUCUUGGACGUUUAAUGAAAGUUUUAAGCUUAUGUCUUAGCUUUCCAUC